UGGCUGGUAAAUUAAUAGUUUGAUUAUUGGUAUUUGUCGAGGACCUGCCGGAAGAAUUUACUGGCCAGAGGCCGUGUAGGACGAAUUUUGAUGGAUUUAUUCUGCAGGGCUCUGGCCUAUGAACCUGGCAGUACACAGGUGGCCACGUCUGGACUAGAAAAUAUUGACGAAAAUCUUGUGCACCACCGGAGGCGAAUGCGAUGCAGGAAACAGAGAAAACAAAGAAGAUGAACGAGAAACUACUCUUCAUUUUGAUUAACAUUAAUUUGACAAUACUAAAAUGCAUAAGAGUAUAACUGACACAUAAAUAGAUAAUAUUAAGCAGUGGUAUGAUAAAAGGAAGAUGGGUGCAUGUACAAACUAAUUAAUGUCAUCAUAAAUAAUUUUAAUAAGGACCAUCCCCCCCUGCUUAAUUUGUUUUCUUUUUGUUUUGGGAUAAAUUGGUAAUUUUCACUUCAUUCCUUGACAGCUGUUGACCUAUUUUUUUUUUCCCUCCCUAAACAAACUAAUUCCAUUGUAAAAACUGAAUCCUAAAAAUCAUCCGAAACACACAACUCCAAUUAUCAUUCGGACCAUAGAAUUUUCUCUUAUUUUGAGCAUCUCUUCCCAUAAUUAACUUGUGGUUCCCCUCUAUCGCAUUCUUCUAUUAUAAAGCAUUUUAGAUGUUACAUUAUAGAAUCAAAAUUACUGAUUAUAUUUACAAUCAGGAAGAGAUAAUAAUGUUGACAACCAAUAUCAAUUCUUUUCCCGAAGAUAUAACGAUUGAAAUUCUGUCAAGAUUGCCAGCUAAAUUUGUUUUGCGAUUCAGGUGCGUUUGCAAGUCCUGGCUUGAGUUAACUAAGAAACCUUCUUUCAUUUCCAAACAUUUCCAAAACAACAGUACUAAAACUCGUCUUUUCGUUGAUGCAUUUGUUACUUCUACGGUAGUUGGUGAGGGAAUUGUUACAUCAGCUUUGUACUUAUUCCAUGAUGAAAAACUUGCAAAUUUAUCAUAUGAAGACAUUAAACCCCAAAUUCAUGAUAAAUUUGUGGGCUAUCAUGAUGGUUUAUUUUGCAUAAUGCAGAGUUCAACGAAUCGUCUAACUAUAUGGAAUCCAGCAACAAGAGAAUUUAGAAACCUUCCAAAUUAUAAAUAUUGUAAUUCUUCCAACCGUUUAAUACCUCCUAGUACUUUCAUCUGUCUUGAAUCUGAUCCCAUAAAUAAUGACUUUAAAUUGCUUUUCGUACACAACUUAUGGAAUGAGAAAAGGAAAAGGUAUGGUAAGGUGCCUAAUGUUCAAGUGUACGGAUUCAGAACAAAUAGUUGGAGAGAAGUACAUGGUCAUCAAUUGGAUCGUUAUUUUGUAUUAAACGGAGGUCAAUUUGGUACGUCCACAUACUUGAAGAAAGUUUGUUAUUGGUUGGUAAUCGCGGAUACUCGAGACCUAAAAGUGAUUCUUUCAUUUCACAUGGAUAAUGAGGUGUUUGAAGAAAUAAAAAUACCUCCACAUGUAAAUUAUUACUCGUCUAUAAGUUUAUAUGAAGACUCUCUCUCAAUUGUAAUUCCAGACGCAGAGCAGUGUUUUGAGAUAUGGGUGAUGAAUGACAAUAAGUGUUGGGCAAAACAUUUAACCCUUGGACCUUUCUUCAAUUUUCGAACAAAUUUGGGAUUCUGGAAGAAUGAUGCUUUAUUUUUAGAUUUAAAUUCUGGGAUUUAUGGUGGUUGCCUUUUUUUACAUGAACAUCGUACGAAGGAAAUUAAGAAUCUCCAAGUCACAAAUCCCCAAUUUGUUGUCAUCUACAAAGAGAGUCUAAUGACUAUACAAUGAGAGGAAAAAUAUUGUAUGAUAAAUUGACCUAUAUUUCAUAAUUUCACAGAAUUUUUUAUUUUAUUUUUUUUGUUCAUCAUGAUCAAGAGCGCGUGGUAGAAAAUAUACGUGGAUGAUUGGUGAUUGGUCGGCUUUACAAUACCAAGGCCUCUGGCAAACUAUAAAUUAGGAUUUUACUUACGUAUUAUUAAAGAAAAAUUGUUUGGGGGUAAUAUAUAUGUAUUAUGUAAGAAUUUGUUGUUUAAUGUUGUCUUCCUUGCUUCUUCGAAUGAGAAAUAGGAGUCAACUUUUAACUACCAAAAAUCAAUAAUCAUUUAUAGCAGGAGUAGUGCUAUAUAUCCCAAAAUUUUUAUUUCAAAAAGCUAUCCUAAAGGACGUGGCAUUGAUCAAUUUUUUUGGUGAGAAGUAUACAAUUAAUUCGCUGGGAUCUUAUAAAGAAUUACCAACCAAUUAAUGAAUAACAUAUUAUUUGAGAUGUACUUUAGGAUAAAAAAAUUGAGAUAUCUAUCAUUACUCUUUAUAAUAGUCUUUCAUAUAAAAUUUUGUUGUUUCUUAAAAUAAAUUAAAAUCAUAAAAAAUAUUAUACAAAGGAAAAUUAGCAGCAACAAGGUCCAAACACUCCUAAAAUCGCGACAAUGCAAUCAGGGCUGCAGUCCGAUCCUUAUAAUGAGAAUGUAUUGAGUCCUGUUUACAAUCAAAAUGAAUUACCUAAAGUCUCAAGCUAGGUCCACAUCUACAAUAUUGUUAAUCAACAACAAGUAUCUUGGAGAAUAACUUGGCUUUCACUCACACUUCAUCAAAGGGAUCUUUUCAUUUAGAGACCUAACAUUCACAAUUUCUUAUUGUUAAUAACUCCUAUUUCUCAUUUAGAGAAGCAGGAAAAACAACCUUUAAGCAAUAAAUUUUUACAUAACACACAUUACCAAAAACAAUUACUCUUUAAUAAUAAAUAAGUAAAAUCCUAAUUUACAGUUUGCCUAAGGCCUUGGUAUUACCAAUCAUCCACGUACAUUUUCCACUACAUACUCUCAAUCAUGAUGAACCAAAAAAAAAAAAAAAAAAAAUUCGGUGGAAUUAUGAAAUUUAGGUCAAUUUAUCAUUCAGUGUUUUCCUCCAAUUGUCUAUUAAUUUUUGGAGAUGAAAACGUGUUUUGGUUCUAUGAUUUGGAGAUCCCUAAUCUCUUUCUUACUAUGUUCAUAUAAAAGAAGGCCACGUAGAAUAAGGUGACCAUGAUUAAACCUAUAUUCUAAAGAAAGCACAUCAUUCUUACAUAAUCCAUGAUAUGUGGGAGUAUUGCAGAAAAGUCCGAAGGUUAAAUGUUUUGCCCAAUACUUAAUGUCAUUCAUCACCCAUCCCUCAAAACAAUUAUGUGUAUCUGGAAUUACAAUUGACAAAGAGUCUUUAUAGAAACAAAGCUCGGUGUAAUCAUUUACUCGUGGAGGUAUUUGUAUUUUGUAUUUCUUGAAACACCUCAUCAUCCACGUGAAAUGAUAGAAUCACUGUUUGGUCUCGAGAAUGUGAGAUUACCAACCAAUAACAAACUGUCGUCAAGUACGCGUACUUGCCAAAUUCUCCAUUUAAUUAAAAAAUAACGAUCCAAAUAUUUACCUCCAACUACUCAUUCUCAAUGUGUACUCUUGACCAUUUGACACCUUACUAUACUUUUUUUUUUGUUCUCAUGCCUUUAGUCGUGAACCAAAACCAACUUCAAGUCAUUUAUUAUGGGAUUAGAUUUAAAACUGUUAGGAUUGUAGUUGUAAUUGGAGUCAAUCUUGUAUUUAGCUGGCAUAAUAUUCUUGUAAUAUUCUCUUUUUUAUUCUUGGUAUGUAAAUAAGUUAGUUUAGGAAGGUUGAUUGAUUGUAGGAAGUCUAGCUUGAUUUAUGGAGAACAGUAUAGAUGUAAUCUUUUAUAUAUAUGUACAGGAUGGAAUGGCAGAGAAGCGAUUCUCACCACACCAAAAUUAGUUUGUUCAUGGUAUCAAUCAAAGGUGAGUGAUGAACAAGUGAGAAAUCAGAUUUCGCCAUAUUGCCCCCAAGUAAGUGAUAAUUGUUGAGUCUUAGAAAAUAUAUAUUUAUAAAGGAGAAAAUCGUCAUUUUACAUUUCAAGUCUUAUUAACAUCCUUACUUUUAUGUAUUUACGCUUCUUGUGAUUUAAUUAUGUGUGUCUUAUUUUAAUUAAGUAUUUUAUGUAUUUUAGGGGCAUCAUGGUCAUUUCACAAUGAACGAGAGAUCAGACGGCAAAACAGACAUUACUUUUGAACUUAGGAUAGUCGAAAACCUAAAGAGCAGCAUAAAAGGAAAAAUGGCACUGUUCACAUGUACGAUACUGUUCACGACACUGCUCACAUAGACGGAUCGAUGAUGUGGCAUUGACUGAUGAGGUGUCACGAUCCUGUUGGACUAAAAUUCUUAUGUACUGUUUAUCGGUGACGUGGCAGAAUGUUAGUGGACCAAAAAUUAUGCAUACGGUACAUGCGUAUACACAAGAUUAUUUUCAACCAAACUGCAUCACUGUUCAAACCGUGUCACUAUUCAAAUCGCGUGGUCAAACCGUGUCAUUGUUGAUAACUCUAGGAAAUGAGAGUUAUUACAUCUAUUCUAGACUUGAAUAAAGUCCAUUUAGAAAGCAAAUAAUGUAUUUUGAUUACAUUUUGACGAAUUUUUGCAUAAAUAUUCAUUUUAGUUGAGUCUUAACAAGUUUUGCGUGAAUCAUAGUAAUUUGUGCUAAAAACAGGUUUUAAUUUGUAGGUUUUAAAUUCAUAAAAGGAUGCGAAGACAUUAGAUGAGAAAGAGGAGGAAAGAAGAUGACCACAAAAGAAGGAAAGCACAAUCGGAAAUGACACAAGUGCCGUGGCGGAUGUUAGAGCAACCAAUGCUGCAGCAAUCUGGGAGAAACGCGGGAGAAAAUAUAGGCGCGGGUCUGCAAUUAAAUUACAAGCUGCAUGUUUCCUAAUUUAAACAUAGGCACGCGCAUGAGUGUUGGUUCGGAAAACCUAAUUUGCAAGUAUAUAAAGGAGGCAUGCACCACAAAGAAUGGCAGAGUGGAAUAAGCAUUCAAAAACAAUUACAAAGGCAAGAAGAAGAUCAAGAGUAAGGAGGGCUGUUCGGCAUCAUUGAAGAGGAGGAUCUUUAAACUUUCAUCGUGCUCCACUCAUAUUAUCUUUCUUCCUUUGAUUUAUUGGAUGUAUUUUGCGAUCAGUAUAUUUAUGUUUAUUUUUCUCAUUCAGAACAUGAACUGAAUUUACUUGUAGUUGAUUGACAAAUAUCCACCCCUACUUAGCAUUUAGCAGUCAACGUUAUUUUGAGAAAAUAAUUGUUGUAAAAGUUUAGUUUCGAGACAAUAAGUCGUCCAUGUGCGUUUAUCAAUUGAGAAUCAGAAUUAAAAUAAGUUUUUUAUUUAACUUUUAGAAUUAGAGUUGGAAUAGGCUGUAUCCUCAUCAUUGGUAUGUCUACUUUGUCAAGGAUCAGAAUGAAUCGUUGCAAGUUAAUUACCAAAAUGUCUUUAGUUAAUUAUUAUCCUCAGUAUUAUAUCUAUUAUAACAGUAACAAUAACAAUGAUUAAAAAAAAUAGUAAUAACAACAACAAUAACAAUAAUAAUAUCUUAACCGGCUCAUAGGCUUUAGAUAAAACAAUUGUUUAAUGUUUUGUAGACAAACAACUAGUUGUACCUAAGAGAAAGAAGUAGAUGACAUGUCUUCCGAUACUUUCAUAUAACUGACAUGUGUAAAUAAUAUGUGCCGGUGCAUAUGCUAGCUGACAUGUGUUUUAUUUUUUAAAAUGUAACCGACAUGUCAUAUAUUUCAUAUAUAAGACAAAGACAUGAUGUCUGUUUAUUUUCUUGACAAAUAACACCUCAUCUUUAAUGUUGAAUUCCAAACGAUUUUAAUAAAAGUAAGAGAUUGUUUGUUUUUCAAUAGUUGCUUGAAUAAUAAUCCUUACAAUUGUAAUUGUAAAAAAAAAGAAUAAAAAAUAUGAGUGAUCACAACCUUUAAGUUCUAAUUUUGAGUCCCAACUACUAUGGGUCACUCAUCUACUAGAUCAUGAAUUUUAUAAUUUAUAACUUACAUAUUUAUCAUCUAAUAGAUAUGUUACUCAAUUUUAAGGUAACUAUAAUAAGAAUUCCAAUUACAACAGUGACUAUUGAUUACAAUUAAAGUUGUAAUUACGAUUAUGUAUAAUUUUUUAUUAAAAUUAUAUAAAAUAUGCUAUUUUAAUUAGUUAACUGGUAAGUACUAAACCCAAAUAACCAUUUAAUAGAUUUUCAUAUUCAAAUUUAUUGAUUUCUUAAAUUAAAAAAAGAAAACUACAUAAUAUCAUAUGAAACAGAAAUCAAUGAUUGCCUUCUAUCUAUAAUGUUCUUCAAUUACAAAUGAACAACAUUAACUCAUUAAUCUUGCAUUUAGUCAUAAUCAAAUGGGAAUUAGAUUGAUGGGUGGGGCACACUUGAGCUAUUUGAAUUUCUUCUGCACUAUUUCAUGUAAAAACAUGUAUUUAUAAGCAAUAUUUUAAAAUUUUAAAAUCUUAAAAUUAACUCAAUUAUGUCAUUCUCUAAUUUAAGGUUGCAUUUUCUCCCUCAAAAUUGUCAGAUCCUACAAACUAAAUUUUCACUUUCACUCAAUGUUGGACAUUGAUUCUUAAUCUUUUUUAGUAAAUCAUAAUUACAUCUUCAGUUUGUUCCAAGGUUUUUAGUAAAUCUAAUUAUAUAUUACUUUUUCAUUUCAAAGAUAUCGAAGUAAAAAAAAUUAAAAAAAAAGAUAUCAAGGCAAAAAUAAUUUUUUAUGGUGAAAACACUUGAAACUUUCAAUUUGUGAUGGCCUAUGUAGAAUAUGUGGAUCUGGAUUUGCCCAUUUAUGAGAGACAAGCAUUAACAUUCGCUUGUAGGGGUGGCAAAAUGAAAAAUCGAAUCGAAUCGAAUUUUAAACGAAUUGGGUCAAAAUUUUGUGGAUUCGGAUUUGAUUUGUUUAUUAAACGAAUUAAAAUCUCAGGAUUCGAAUUAGAUUCGUUUAUUAAACGAUUAUUUAGUUUAAUUCAUUUAAUAGAUUAAUAAAAGAAUUGAAUCAAAUUCAAAUUCAUUUAUUAUUAAUUUAUCCUAAUAAUAAAUGAAUCCAUAACUAAUCGAAUUGAAUAUGAAUUUGUUUACAAAAGUUAAAUAAAUAAUCCAAACCAUAAAAGUUUUCAUCUUAUUUAUAUAUUGUGUUAUUAUUAUUUAUAAUUACUAGAUUAACCUUCAAAUUUUUAAUUUUUUUAUAAAUAUUUAAGAAUAAAUAAGUAAUUUAAUUAAACGAAUAAAUUGUAUUCGGUUCGUUUAUAACCCAUUUAUUAAAUGAAUACUAAACGAAUAAACGAAUCAAUGUCUUCAAACCUGAAUUCAAUUCGUUUAAUUAACGAAUCGAACUGAAUUCACCAAUUUAUAAACGAAUCAAAAUUUUCAAACCCAAACGCGUUUAAUUCACUUCAAAUUGAAUCGAAUAAACGAAUCUUGGUCCAAAUUGCCGCCCCUAGUCGCUUGCAAGAGAACAUUGAAAGAAAAUAUGUUGAGUGGUGAGAAUAUGAUGAAUUGGAAACCGAAAAUAAAGGUUGAUUAGAUAAUUUCAUUUAAAAAAUAUUUUGGCAAAAAAAAAAAAAACUAAGAAAAGGAUGUUAAAAGGAAAUUGGUGGGUUAUUUGAAAUAGUCCCAUCAAAAUAUGAUAUACAUAAUUUCUUAAGAAAGUUAAUUUUAGGAAAAAAAAUUAUUAACAUGAUCUAAGUUGCCAAAUUAUUUGUGAUAUUUUUUUGAGAUAAAAAUUUAUGAUGUGUAAUACUACUCUUUUUUAUGCUGCGUUUACUUUUUAGAUUGGAGUGAGAAUCCUGAGGAGUGGGAAUCCUUGGAUUAGGAGUGUGGAGUGGGAGUGGGAGUAGGGUGUUUACUUAGGCUAAAUAAAAGUAUGGAUUGUCAAUCAGAAUCCUAAUUAUUUGUUUACUUUGUCUUGGAUUGGGAGUAAAUUGUUUUAAAUUACAAUUUUAUCCUUAUGUACAGAAUUAUAAUUUGUAAUUAAAAAAUUAAUAAAAAAUAUAUUUGGAAAAUAAAAUAAAUAUUUUAUUAUAUUUAUAAAUUAAUAAUAAUUACUAAUAUUCUUAAUUAUGUAAAUCAUAAUUUUUUAUUAAUUUUAAUUUAAAUUAUGUGAAUAAAAAUUAUUAAUAAUAGCAACACAAAUGAAAUAUUAUUAUUGAUAAUAUAGUACAAAAUUAAUAUUUUUUUAGAAUAAAAUAUUUGUUAUUAUUAAUUAAAUAAAUAAUUAAUAUUUAUUAAAAUUAAUGUUUAAUAUUAUUAAUUUAAAUAUAAUAUUUAUUUAUUUUUAUUUUAUUAAAUUUAAUAAAAUAAAUUUGAUAUAAUUAUUAUUUUUAAUAAAUAUGAUAUUAUUUAUUUUAUUAAAUAUGAUAUUAUUUUAUUUUAUUAAAUAUGAUAUUAUUUAUUUUAUUAAAUAUUAUUUAUUUAUUUAUUUUUAUAAGGAUAAAAUGGGAAGAGGGGGGAGUGGAUUCCCACUCCCACCUCCCCCCAUGGGAGUGAGAAUCCCACUCCCCACUCUAAAAUUGGGUGGGACCCACAGAUUCCCACUCCCCUUUUUUAAUGUAAGUAAACACUGGAGUGGGAGGAACCCACACUCCACACUCCACACUCCCACUCCAGAAAGUAAACAAUACCUUAAUUGAAAAAUGAUUGAUGACAUAUCCAUAGCUAUUUGUUUACUUCAUUUUUAUGAUAAUGUAAUUGUAGAAGAAUUACUCAUCUUCGUAUUUUACAUAUGCUUAAAAUUAAAUAAAAUUCUCUAUAAAUUAUUAUAUCUCUUAUUUAUUUUAUUUCUUUCUCUUGUUAUAUUGCUAGGCUCCAAGUUGAAAACUAAUUUAACAAAAGUUUUAUUUCUUAAUAAUUUUUUUUUAACUUCUUUUCAAUAAUUAUGGAAUUAAAUUUCUAACCGUUUUGUUAGCGGUUUGGAGAAACCCGAAAUGGAAAAAUCCCUUGAACCGUCCGGUCCAAUUCCAUCACACCGAACCGACGUCGUUCCAUCAACACGUCCACAAACCGAAUUGCACUUCAAAGGUUUAACAGCUUUGUUCCCCCAAUCUCACUCUUUCUUCGAAACGGCUACUUUGUUUCAAUUCAAUAAAACAAUCAACAAAUCAAGCCAAUAAUUUAUGCCAAUAAAGAACAAAUGGAGACUCAUUUCACUCACAGUUACUUCGAAAGACGACCAAUUGUCAAAUCCAAGACUCCGGCUGUUAAAUGGUUCAGAGAAUGGUAAUUUUGGCCAAAUUAGCCAAUUCCCUUUUCUUAAUUCUUUCAAGUUUCCUAUUUUUUAAUUCAAGUUUCAAUUUUUAUUUUUUCAAUGCGAAGCAAUUUUCUUAUUUAUUUAUUAUUAUUAUUUUCCUUGAAGGGUGCCCCAAGAUAUUGCGGCUACUGGUGGGAAGUGCCAGAUUUUGAGGUGGGUAAAUGCUAAGUGAUUUUUAUACAUUCUUAUGCUAACAAAAAACAUUUCGUUGAAUUUAAAUUUAAAUUUUAAAUUUUUUUGGUUUUUUUAUAUGUUGUUAUUUGUUAAUAACUGUUGUUUGAUUCAACUUGUAUGAAAGUUAAAUAAGUUAGUGUGUGGUGAAGAAAUAAAUGAAAACUAAGUUGAAGAAAUAAAUGGAAACUAAGUUGAACAGCAUUUAGAGUACCUAAUUUAAAUGCUUCUUCUUCUUUGCUUUGAAUGGGAAAUUCUGAGAAUUUUGUAUGUUUGCAAAUUUUGUUGCAAUUACAACUUAUUGGGCUAUGGUCACAAAGUCUCCAUAGGCUAUUCUAGUCCAAAGAGGUGGAAUCGGGAUUUCUUUUGUUAUUUUCAUUUUUUUGGGUGCUUAAGGAAUUCGAUAUCUUUGAGGAUCAGUUUGUUGUGAAUUGGAUGAGAUUAAUAUUCAAGAUUAUGAAUGGAGAAGAUGAUACAAUUUAUCCUUUUAAACAUGCCAUUAGAACAUUAGUUUUUUUUUAAAAAAUAAAUAAAGUGUAUUUUUUCAUUUUAUUUGGAAGUUUAAAUGAUUGUAGGGUUUUCCAUAUUUUUGCUUUGCUGCUUUUGUGUGAAUACCAUGUAACUCUAUGAGCAACAUUGUUUUAAGGUAGCAUGCUGUAUUUGAUGAGUAUAUCUUGCUAGCUAGUGGUUAUCAGUUCUUUCUGUUAUCUGUUGUUAAGCUUUCACACUAUUUUGUCGGUUGUAGAUUCUCAUUUGCAUUUUUGUUUCUUUCUGUGAGUAGUGCACUACAUCUGAUGUGCUAAUGGUCUUUCAACUUGCUUUUGAUUCAAUAAUGGAAGCUUUGGCAUUUAAAUUUCCAUAGUUUCCAUUAGAUUCAGGGGAGCCAUGUCAGAGUUUUGUAAGAGGAGAAAUCUUUAGAUGGCUUUGUGUCAAAAUUUACUUUUAAGGAAUUCUCAUGUUCAUUUAUUCCCAAUAUUUUAUGUCCUCCGUCCGUUUGUGUUCAGAGAAAAUGUUGAAGGCCUUAAAGGAGAAGGCAAAAGAGCCAGAGGCACCAGAGCCGGAGCCAGAACCUACCACUGAAGUUCUAUUUCUAUGCAGCUAUGAAGGCUGUGGGAAGACAUUUAUCGAUGCUGCCUCUUUGAGAAAGCAUGCUCGCAUUCAUGGAGAGAGACAAUAUCAGUGUCACUAUGAAGGAUGUGGAAAGGUAAGACAUGACGUAUUUAAUGAAGUUUUUAAUAUUUCAUUCAUGAUUUCUUUAGACUGCUUAAAAUCAUGAGAUUCAUCAUACUUCUUGAGGUUUAAAAUAUGAUAAUAGUUUAAAAAAGAAAAGGAAACUAUUAUAUGUAUGCGUAGAGACAAGCUGUUGUGUCUGAUCUUGGACAUACUAUCCAACAUGGCCUCUCUAAAAAUUGUGGGAUGUUGGAUUAAACAAAGUGAGGAAUUUGGGUUUGUGGCUGAGGGCGGGAGUGUUUCUGAGUUGUAAAAAUUUGGGGAACUUCAUGUGUAUGAAAGCAAUUUGCAUCGAUGAUUUGAGUGGGGAAGCAAAGGUACUAUUGAGAAUCAGGUGCUAUCACCAAAUAUUUUUUCUUUUGGUGGGUCUUUUUGUGCGGCUAGUUCAAACCCUCUGGUUAAAUAAGAUCUGUCAGUCUGGUUUGGGACUGAAGGUGGUCCAGCCUUGUUCAUGUACAGUCUUUUGUAAACAAUCCUCAAAUUGUUUUCUUGGUAUAUUUAUGUUAUGUUAAAGGCUAAGCCUCAUCACUUUUUUUAUUUCUCUUUUUCUUGAAUUUUUUUUUAAUUGAUGUCGUUCUUUCAGGCAUAUAAAAAAUGGUUUUUGAAGUAAUUUUGUACUUUUUGAUGCAGAAAUUUUUGGAUAGUUCGAAGUUAAAAAGACACUUUCUUAUUCAUACUGGAGAAAGAGAUUACGUAUGUCCUCAUGAAGGCUGUGGUAAGGUGAAGAAUCUAUCCAUCCUAAAGCAUUUUGUCAAAACUUUGCCGAGGCUACCUUAUCUUUUUCUUUUUUCUUAUUGCUGACAUUAUCAUAAGAUAUGAGAAAUAUUAUACAUUUGUUUUCUGCCUGAAACAUUUCUAUUUGAUGAUUGAUUCCAUUGUCUUAUGGUCCCUUGCCCACAAUUUUAAAAUUUUAGGUCAUUUGGUAAAUAAUAUUAAUACCUUGGAUGUUUAAUAAUAUUUUGAAAAGAGAAGUACAGUUUGUUGUACCCUGUGAUUGCUGAGGACAUCAUGGGUUUUAGUAAGCAAGAUUCUGUGAGACGCUUUGAUUGCCAUACAAUAUUAAGUGUCAUGUAUCCAAUCCAGGGGGACCCAAUGAUGUUGAAGUCUCAGGCUGGCAAGUGGAGGAUCAUGGAGUUCAGUCUUGAGAAAUGCCACUAUGCAAAAGCCACUUAGGGGUAUUAGUGUAUUUGGAAUCCCCCUAUAACCUUGUUUUAUUUGGACCGACUCUCUGUGAAGACCUCUCCCAUUAUUAUUGAGAAUGAAUGUUCGGUACUUAAUAUCAGGGUUGGUUGUAUUGUAACUUGGAUGGAUCAAAUAUGAGAGACUCAUGUUUUUUCAUCAUCUUGUAAAGGGCAUAGUGCUAAUCUUACCUUGAGGUUGCCGUUUUGGCUUAAGAUGUUACUUUAUUGUACAUUUCUGUAUGUGCACACACUUGUACUUGUACCCAGCAUUUGUGGUGUUCCUAAUUACAAAUAUGAAAUAUGCAGGCGUUCUCUUUGGACUUCAACCUGAGAUCACACAUGAAAACACAUUCACAAGAAAAUUAUCACAUCUGCCCAUACCCAGAUUGUGGAAAGAGAUAUGCUCAUGAGUACAAGUUAAAGAAUCAUAUUGCAUCUCACCACGAAAAGGUUGGUGCUAUUUCCUUGCUGUUACUAUUUUGCAGUACCAACGCCUUUUUAGUAUUUUUCUUUGCUAUUUUAGAUAUUUUUCCUGCUUUUUUUGUUGCAUUUUAAGUUAAUUCCUUUCAUAGAACAUAUCUUAUAUAGUUUAUGACGUUUAAAGCAACAUGACUUCGGUUUCAUCUCAGAUUAUAUUAGUCAUCUGUCAAAAGGAAUUUUACUUAUUUCUUUUCUAAAGAUAUCCUUCAAGUCUGUUAACAAUGGCAACAUAUGAAUGUUUGUGUUCUAGUGGAAUUGUAUUCAUUUCACCUUUAGUAUGGUCAUAGUACAAAUGGUUAUUAUUAUCACUGAAAGAUGUAGUACAGAAACCAUCUGCUAUUUUUCUUAAAACUCUUAAGAUCAUCCCAUGUGUCGCUGGUUGACUUCACUGUAGAUCUAGAAUGGUUAUCAUAAUUAUGUUCUUUUUAUUUUUUUAAUUUUAUUUGAUAUACAUAGGACAUCAAAAUACCAUUCUGCCAACAUGAAUUUCAGAAAUUGAUUGCCAUGAAGCAAAGAUCGUCUGUAUAUAUAUUUUCUCUCAAAACUCGUAUAUCAUAUCUGAUUCUUAGUUUCGAGAUUUGAUUUCUCAGAAUGCUGCAGUGGAGGUGCCCAGAUACGCUACUCCUCCCGAGAGGAUAACAAAAACUCCCAAGCCACCUGCUGGGGUUUAUGGUUCUGCAUCAUCUGAACGUCCUUAUGCAUGUCCUUAUGAAGGGUGUGAAAAGGCAUAUAUCCAUGAAUACAAGCUUAAACUCCAUCUGAAGCGGGAGCAUCCUGGCCAUAUGUCUGAUGAAAAUGCCGAGAAUGCCACAACUAAUGCUGAUAAUGAGAUGGAUGAAGGCAGUGACCAAGAUGCCUAUGCUGGAAAACGUGUUAAUGGUAAAAGUCAAAAACAAAGCCGGGCGAAGCCAAACUUGAAGAUGCCUCCUGCAAAAGUAACGCAACGCAAAAGCUCAACUCCAUCUCCUGCCACCUUGAAUGUAGUGAGAAAGCAACAAUGGACUCCUAAAGAAGAAGUUUACGAGGAAGAAGAGAGUGAAGAAACUGAGGAAGAUCGUGACAAUGUUGAGGAUGGAUUUAGGUACAGGCAAAAUAAUGAAGAUGAUGAUGAGGAGACUGAGUACGAAGACUGAAGCAUAUAAAAAUGUUUCCUUCACCCUUCUGGUAAGGGCACCUUGUAUGUAUCUAACCCUUACAAACAGGUUCUCUGUCAUCUUUUAUCUGCUUGCUUUCAGCAUCUUUUUUUCUCUCAUUGCAGCAUAUAAAUAAAGUUAAAAAUUUUUAAUUUUAAAAUAUUGGUGAUUCGCUAAAGAAUUUCAUAUGACGAAUUUGUGAAUUUUUCAUCUUGGGAUAAACACAAAGCUGAUGCAAUCAACUCAUCAUGCCAAAAUUUAUGCACCUGAGCCGCAUAAGAGACUUGACUGGUAAGUUUGACAAAAUUUCAAUCGUUAUAUCAUCAGAACAUAAAUGAUUUGAAAGAGAGGGGAGACCACAACAUGAAUAAGUUAAUCAGUUAGUGUCAUAAAGAGAGAUUUGGAUUCAUUAAUUGUUGACUUUUGUGCUGGCUCUAACAAAGCUUUGAUCAUAAAUUGGCAAUCCAUUUGGAAAUAAUUUUCAACCCCCAACCUAUAGCCCAUCAAUCACCCACUUGUAAUUUCCCAGGCAUGUAGAGCGUAAACCAUUUUACGAGGCAAUGCAUGUAGAACUUAAAUCUAAGAUAUGCCAUGAAAAUUGGAAAAAUUAGGAUAAUUUAUCUUCUCUCUUUUUAAUAUUCCUUUAUUUAAAAAAAAAUUGGAUAGGGAUAGAAAUUUCACCCACUACACACUAAUCCUUGAUCCCAAAUCUACUUGUAUUAAUGUUUAUAAUUAAUUUCUUCUAUUUAAUACUAGUUAAUAAGGCUCCAUAGGUAAGUGCAAUAAGGUUUCGUGCAUUGGAACCCAUGGUUAUCGACCUGAAUCCAUUAGUAUGGAUCAUUUUCUUUUCCAAUUGAAAUCCAUUAGUAUAUGGAAGAGUGAAAAAGUACUUUCGUUGUUUUGGAAUAAGAAGUCUUCGUAUCUUAAUGCAUGUAUUUAAUGUAUUCGGGACUAUUAGAACUUAUUACUCAAACUUAAGUUAUUGUAAUUGCAAUAAAUAUUCAUGGCUGGUUGAGCUACACCCAAGAGGCUCUUUAUCCUCUCAUUAUAUUGUCAUUAGACUCUCUUUGUAAAUAAAAACAUCAUCCGGAUUGGUAAUUUAGAGAUCCCUAAUUUCUUAUGUAUGAAUUCAACAUAUAUAGAUUUUUAAAUAAAUGCGCCAUUCUUCCACAAUCCAUAAUGUCUAGGAAUACUGAAGAAAGGUCCAAUACUAAAUAGCGAUCCAUUUGACGAUCACAUAUUUCUUCAACUAUUUCUUCUGGAUGUGUACACUUGAUCAUUCGACAACUUACCGUACUUUCUCAUCCCACGAGUCUUGAACCAAUAAUCAACUUAAAAGAACCACUCGGCUCAGCCCGAGUGGCCAGGGCUGCUGCCCUCCAACUUGGAGGGCAGCAGUUCGAACCCUAACAAAAGCAUUGUGGGGGUAUUUCCUUCCUCAAUUAAUUGAGUGAAGGUAGUCUUCUUCCUUACUCAUGAGUGAGGAGUAGACAUCCCUCGAAUAUUUGUGAGGGUUAAAAUCUGGGCAGAGCUCUAUUAACAUUGAUGUAAGUUGGUCCCAGUAAUAGUCUGAUUUGUAAAUAUAAGUUAUAAUCUCAUGUAAUAUGAGUUGUAAUCUGAGCAAUAGUCUCAUGUAAUAAAAAAAAAAAAAAAUAAUCAACUUAAAAGUCAUUGUAUAAUAUGCAAAAUAAACCAUCAUAUUAGUCCACGAAAUUGUCAAAACGUCUUAUAAUUUGGCUUUCAAUAUCUUCAUAUGAUAAAUUAACUUGUAAGCGUUUCAUCCUGGAAUAAAUACGAAGCUGAUGCAAUAAUUUCCUUACCAAAUUCCACAGAAUCAACGAAUGCAUUAAUAAAAAGACGAGUUUCAGCAUUGUUGUUCUGGAGAUGUGAGAUUCGAAUCCCCGCACAUGAGUAGCCUGGGAAUUGGAUUGCCGUUACCUAAAUUAACCCAAAAAAAAAAGCUUAAUUUAUUCUUAUUUGAAUUCUUUUUCUAUCAAUUUAAAUCACAUAAGUAGAUAUUUUGACCGAGUGUUUUUCAAUUAAUAUGAUUUGGUUGGCUAUUCGAGUUCGAUUAUAGGAGAGGUAAGGAGCUAAAAUUUUAAUUUGAACUCAGCUACCCCUCUAUCUUUUUAAAAGUACAAAAAUAAAUUUAACAAUCGUUUAAAUUUACAUAAUUUAAUUAUCUUUUGUUUCUUUGCCGUAUCAGCUGCUAUAGCGAGCAUAAGUGCAGGUGGUCAACAGUGAACAGCAACACGGUUGCACACGGUGAAUAGUAACACGGUUUGAAUAAUAAUGCGGUUUGAACAAUAACGCAGUUUAAACAGUAACACAAUUUGAACAGUGUUAUACGUUUGGUUAUAAAUAGAGAGGAGAGGUUAGAGCUUGAAUCAUCCCAAUUUUGAGAGCAAUUGCAAGUGAAACAAUUUGAGAGUUUUGAGAGAGCUUUUACUUGAGCGCUAGGAGAAUUCAAUUAGGUGUAUUGGAGUUGUGGGUAUUGAAAGUUUUUUUCCCACUUUUGUAGAAUUCUAAAAUUAUCUUCCAGUCUUUUUUCCGUGGACAUAGGAAUUACGCCGAAAUAAAUUAUUGUGUCAUUUUCUUUGCAUUUGUUUACAUCACAUUUAUAUUUCUCUAGAAAUUACAAUGUCUGUAAUAUUGGUAAUUGCUCAACCCUGUACUUCUGCAACAAGUCAAACAUUCAUAGAAAUAAAAUAUUAAAUUAAAUUGAGGGAAAAAAAAUUUACAGUGAUUUAUUCUUGUUAUUUCAUCAUCCAUCCAACCGUGGACAACUCAAGGACUCGGCAAUAAAGCUGUUGUAUUACCUACCGUCUACCCAAGAAGAAAGCCCUCGUUUAGCGAAUGAGACUAUUUAAUCCACCAAAUUAAGUAGUCUUCAAACUUAAUUUCUCAAGAGGGGGAAAAAAACCUAUUAGUCAAGCGGGGAUCAAGGAUCCUCAUCCCACCCUGAAUUAAUUAUGAUGGGAUAGGUACGAGGACGCCGAUCCCCUCCCCUCCCCUCACAACUACCAUCCUAAUAAUAACGAUUCUGGACACCUCGCAUGUCUUCCACCUCUUCCUCGUAUUCUCCAUAAUUUACUUGAUUGAAAGUUUUAAAUUUCCAUUUCGAUUGGCUUUUCAGUCUCGUUAGGACAUAUUCUUCGAUCCAGCAAUGCUACGGAACCUACCAAUAUUUUGAUCGCACCGAUACGUGGUUGAUCGUGAUCCGGCCUGUUCCCUCGCAUUGCAACAAAAUUAAACUUGUAGCUUUAGAAUCAACGCGUAGAAUGACCUCCAUUAGCAGAUAAUCAUUCAAGCAUUUAAGAAUUGGCCUAUUGCCGUGUCUGGCAUUUAAGAAUCAACGCAUACUUGAAUCGAUGAACAUGACACAAUAGCGAUAAAACAACUGUGAAAUAAUAAUAUGGUGUAAUAAUGUUAAGUAAGAAAUUAGGAAUUUUUUUUUUCUUGAACAACACUAUAACGGAACAUGAUCUUCUCCCGAUCUGAGCAUUACUGAGCUUUUAAUAAUCUUUUGUCAUGUGUCUUUUAGUGGUACUGUAUAGGUAAGAUUUAACUUUUUUAACUUUUUUAUUUAUUAACAACCAAUCAAUAAUUAAUUUAUUUGCUCAGGACAUGAUCAGAUCAGGAGAGAAUCCUGAUUACACUAUAACACCCUACGUUUUCACAAUCAUUUUGUCGCUGUUUUGUCACUGUUAGGACAAUUCUUCAUUUUUCCUGGCGUUUAUUGCUCAGUAUAUUUCUUUACUGUGUGAUUGUUUCCAUCUGAAUUAUUCCUUUAUUUCGUAAUGCAGCCUAUAAGUUCAAAGCUUUAACCAGGGUGAUAUAUGCUUGGAAAUAUUCCUCGCGUGGUGGGUUAUGUUGGCCUCUACCAUGUUUUCUGCCACCUUAUGCCUCAAAAAAUAUGUAUUUGACCUUCAACAGAGAUUUUGCCAGACCACAUCCAUUUCGUUAACCAAAGAUAUAUUCCUGCUUGGCUAGAAAAACAAAUUAAAUAGAGAAAACACAAUUCUAUAAUUAGAACUUAAUUAGAAGGAAGAAAUAAUUAACUAAUUAAUUGUAAUAUAUAUGAAAGAAGAUAAACUAGUAAGUGCUCGUGUCUAUGAUAAGGUGAGUACCUAAACACAUGAUAGAAUAAUUUUAUAACUCCUUGUAAAUUAUGGACUAAUAGGAUUAAGUGAACAGCGUCGCCUACUGAAUUAUUACAGACACAAAAAAUAUGUUUUAAUUUUGGAUCCUAAAUUUUGUUAAAGUUCGAAAAAAAAAAAAAAAACUGUUUGGUUUAAUAAUGUAAAGAUUAUUAAUACUAUUAAUCUUUAAGAUCCGAAAGACCCAACACAUUGCUACAGAGCCCAAAUAAUAUCUCCCACGCAAUUGGAUAGUGAACUCCGCUGAGCAAUGCACGGAACAAAAUUUCUAGCUUGAGUAUCAACACAUAGUGUCACCUCCAUUAGGAGAGACUUGUUCAAGCAUUUAUAAAGUGGCGUAGUACCGUUUCUGGCGACUAUUGCGAGAGUAUAAUUCCCUUCAGAGAGACCGUCUCCAUCUGGAUUUAUGCCUGCAUCUCGAAAUGCGGCCUCCAAGUUCACAGCUUUAGCCAGCGUGAUAGCAGUUCGAAAAUAUUCCUCGGGCGGCAGGUUAGGCUGGCCUCUGCCGUGAUGCUUCCACUCCCUCUUCCAAAACUGUUCAUUUUCAUUUCGGGUAAGACUUGGCCAGAACUUGUUCAUCUCGGCAGCAAAAGAUUUAUUGCUUUCUAGCUACAAAGAAAGAGUAAAAAUUAAUUAAUAAAUGACCGUAGAAUAAUGUAUAGGAAAAACUAUAUAUAUAGCCCAUGGGAGUGAAGCAGGUACCAUGGCUGGUACAUUAAUAGUUUGAUUAUUGGUAUUUGUCGAGGACCUGCCGGAAGAAUUUACUGGCCAGAGGCCGUGUAGGACGAAUUUUGAUGGCUUUAUUCUGCAGGGCUCUGGCCUCUGAACCUGGCAGUACACAGGUGGCCACGUCUGGACUAGAAAAUAUUGACGAAAAUCUUGUGCACCACCGGAGGCGAAUGCGAUGCAGGAAACAGAGAAAACAAAGAAGAUGAACGAGAAACUACUCUUCAUUUUGAUUAACAUUAAUUUGACAAUACUAAAAUGCAUAAGAGUAU
rnacentral:lncRNA from 1 species